UACGGAGGGAGCUAGCGUUGUUCGGAAUUACUGGGCGUAAAGCGCGCGUAGGCGGCUUUGUAAGUUAGAGGUGAAAGCCCGGGGCUCAACCCCGGAACUGCCUUUAAGACUGCAUCGCUGGAAUCCGGGAGAGGUGAGUGGAAUUCCGAGUGUAGAGGUGAAAUUCGUAGAUAUUCGCAAGAACACCAGUGGCGAAGGCGGCUCACUGGCCCGGUACUGACGCUGAGGUGCGAAAGCGUGGGGAGCAAACAGG
rnacentral:rRNA from 1 species